rnacentral:lncRNA from 10 species
AGGCUGGUUUCGAACUCCCGGGCUCAGGUGAUUGGCCUGCCUCGGCCUCCCAAAGUGCUGAGAUUCCAGGUGAGUGCCACCACGCCCAGCCCACAUUUUACAUUUGAUCAUUGUUUGUGUAUGUACAACAUGAAUGAAUGACGGUUGCAUGGAGAGACAGAGAGACUGAGGAAAAUACAGCUCAGCCGUCCAAAUACAUUACCUCCCACAUUUUUUAAAAUCUGUUAAACUUCCUCUGACCCCCUCCCAAGUACCGUGAUGUGAUGGAGACAAUGUCAUCAGUGGCUUACUCCUGAGACCCAGACCAACAGGGAACUCCUCGGAGAGAUUUUGAUGCUCCACAUUUUAACUACAUUCCUAUUUCCUACCAAUUUCUCAAUAUAAUUCCCAAUGUAAUUUAUGUAGAUUUUUUUUUUAAAGAAAAUAUGGCCUUGGUGGGAAUGCUGGUCUUGCAGCUGCUUCCUCCCAUGUAUUCCACCCAUGCACACAGCCCUAGACUCACUCCAGCUAGGAAGGAGGCUGCGUUCAAUAUAAAUGCAAAACGCUCCAGACAUUCAUGAUUAUCUGUGCUGUGCAUGAAUAACGACAGCAGCUUGCAAGUGGGCAGGACUUGGCGGCGAGGCCCCAUCACAAAUCCACUGCCACACCAACACGCUCCAACGAAGUGCCUGUGAAAUCUGCCUUCAGUCACUAAUUUCACACUCCAGGGACAGAGCUGAGAACAGCUCCGAGCUCAUAAUUCUCAUUUUAAUAACAGUUUCCUUAACCUUCAGACACUCUUUACAGCACUUUUUGACACCUUUUCAAAAAUUAAAAUCCUCGAUUCCUUUCAGGUUAAAUCUCAGGUUUGCUUUCGUUUAAUCAUCCCUUUAAUUUUGUGACUUCACAAAUAGCAGAGAUUUUAUUUUGUCUUCAGAUACCUUGCAACACUUUCUCUAGCUUGGUUGCAUUUUUAAAAAUCAAAAUGAAUCGUUCACAUAUUCUACAUUCAUUAUUCUGUCUCCUGCAGCGUUCUAAAUAAUGUAGGUAUUGUAGAUGCUUCUGUGAUGAGCACGGAACGCAUUUGCAAUGCCCUGCUAAAAUAUGCUUUUCAUCUCCUUUCAGAUCAUAAAAUGAGUUUUCUUCUCUUGGUUUCUGAAGGCCUGAGAAAUACUCUUCUCUUCUGGAAUGUAUUGCAAGACACAGGGGAGGGUCCUGGAAUUAUGGUUUGAUUGUUUCUGUGGUCAGCUGACUUGGUUGUACUUUCCCAUCAGUGACUCAGCCCAGGUGAGACACCUUAUACACAACAGGAAUUCAUUUCCCACAGUUCUGGAGGCUGAGAAGGCCAAGAUCAAGGCAGUAUCAGAUUUGGUGUCUGGUGAGGGCCUGCUUUCUGAUUCAUAGAUGGCACCUUCUUCCUGUGUCCUCAAACGACAGA